rnacentral:rRNA from 1 species
AGUGAACGCUGGCGGUAGGCCUAACACAUGCAAGUCGAACGGCAGCACAGUAAGAGCUUGCUCUUACGGGUGGCGAGUGGCGGACGGGUGAGGAAUACAUCGGAAUCUACUUUUUCGUGGGGGAUAACGUAGGGAAACUUACGCUAAUACCGCAUACGACCUACGGGUGAAAGCAGGGGAUCUUCGGACCUUGCGCGAUUGAAUGAGCCGAUGUCGGAUUAGCUAGUUGGCGGGGUAAAGGCCCACCAAGGCGACGAUCCGUAGCUGGUGUGAGAGGAUGAUCAGCCACACUGGAACUGAGACACGGUCCAGACUCCUACGGGAGGCAGCAGUGGGGAAUAUUGGAGAAUGGGCGCAAGCCUGAUUCAGCCAUACCGCGUGGGUGAAGAAGGCCUUCGGGUUGUAAAGCCCUUUUGUUGGGAAAGAAAAGCAGCAGGUUAAUACCCCGCUGUUCUGACGGUACCCAAAGAAUAAGCACCGGCUAACUUCGUG